rnacentral:rRNA from 1 species
UACAGAGGUCCCAAGCGUUGUUCGGAUUCACUGGGCGUAAAGGGUGCGUAGGUGACGGGGUAAGUUUGAUGUGAAAUCUCCGGGCUUAACCCGGAAACUGCAUUGAAUACUAUUCUGCUCGAGGUUUGGAGGGGGGACUGGAAUUCUCGGUGUAGCAGUGAAAUGCGUAGAUAUCGAGAGGAACACCAGUGGCGAAGGCGAGUCCCUGGACAACACCUGACACUGAGGCACGAAAGCUAGGGGAGCAAACAGG